rnacentral:rRNA from 1 species
CUUAGCCUUAAACACAGAUAGUAAAAAUACAACACUACCCGCCAGAGAAUUACGAGCGAAAAGCUUAAAACUCCAAGGACUUGGCGGUGCUUCAAACCAACCUAGAGGAGCCUGUCCUAUAAUCGAUACUCCACGUUUUACCUCACCACCCCUUGCCAAUCAGCUUAUAUACCGCCGUCGUCAGCCUACCUUGUGAAAGCAACAAAGUGAGCAAAAUAGUUAACAACUAACACGUCAGGUCAAGGUGUAGCACACGGAGUGGAAGAGAUGGGCUACAUUUUUUCAAAGGAAAUACACGAACAGAACGUUGAAAUACGCACUUAAAGGUGGAUUUAGUAGUAAAACGAACAAGAAAAGUUGUUUUAAACUUGCUCUGAAGCGCGCACACACCGCCCGUCA